rnacentral:lncRNA from 1 species
CGACGAGGUUUUCCAUAUAUAUCUGUGUAUACAAAUGCUUGCAGUGUUGUUUAGAGGAAGAAAGGUGACAAGUUAGCAGAGAAGAAGAAUGGCUUCCAAACCAGGGAUCCUUACUGAAUGGCCAUGGACAUGUCUUGGGAACUUCAAGGUAUCCCCCCCCCCAACCCUCUCUCUGUAUAUAUGUGUAUGUAUAUGUAUAAACAUACUCACAUUUGAGCUGCUGUAAUAAUAUGUUUCCAUUUUCAACGUGGAUAAAGUAUCUGAUAUUGGCUCCGUGGGUGAUUCAAGCAACGUACUCGUUCAUGAUGGAGGAUGAAGCUGAAAGGGAUUUUUCUCACUUUUUUAUAUUCCCAUUUUUGCUAACAAGAAUGCUUCAUAGCCAAUUCUGGAUUUCUCUCUCUCGUUAUCGAACUGCAAAAGGUAGCAACAGGAUAGUCGAUAAGAGCAUCGAAUUUGAGCAAGUUGAUAGAGAAAGAAACUGGUACACAUACAUAUAAACCCCCUUCCAACUUCUCUAUUAUCUUGUACUAUAUACUUACUUCCUCGACUGCAUUUGUGCGAGAAGCAUAAAAUAAAACUUGCAGUGAAAAAGUGAUUGAAGGCGAACUAAUGUAAAUCUAUCUGCCUAAAUUUCUUAAUUUACUCAUUAUUUUACUUUUUGUAUUGUUUGAUAUCAGAUCUACCUUACUAAUAAGACAAAUAUAAAACCCAUUUUACAGGGAUGAUCAAAUAAUAUUUAAUGGCAUAUUACUCUAUUUGCUGUUCAUGUAUAUCAAGGAGGUUCAUCAUCUGCCUGUAUGGAGGACAAAUGGAGUGAUAUUGACAAUUUUACUUCAUACUGGUCCAGUCGAGUUCAUCUAUUACUGGCUACACAGGGCACUGCACCACCACUUCCUCUACUCCCGCUACCAUUCCCACCACCACUCCUCCAUUGUUACUGAACCCAUUACAUGUAAGAAAAAGAAGCCCUUUUAAAUAGAUAAUAGAAAAGAAUAAUGUUAUUUGUACGUAAUGAAGUUACGUAAUGGUUUAUGUACAUAUUAGGUUUCAAAAAAAGAGUGUUGAUUUUUUUUUUUUUUUUUUUGGUUGAAGAAUUUCUGUCCAUUCACGUUUCACCAUAUAUAUGUAAACCAUUAUGUACACGUAGUACAACUGAAUAGAAAAUUGGACUGUAUGGAGAGUGAAAUUCGGAUUACCUAGAUGCCAAUGAGUAGGAUUUCAAUAAGAAUUUCAUAGAUGCAGAAUAUAUAUGUCCACAUUUAUUCUAACCACAGCCUUAUUUUUGUUUUAUCAGCUGUAAUUCAUCCAUUUGCAGAGCAUAUUGCAUAUUUUCUGCUCUUCGGUAUACCAAUUCUUACGACUAUGCUGACUGGGACUGCUUCCAUCGCUUCAUUUUCUGGUUAUAUUACAUAUAUUGACUUCAUGAACUACAUGGGUCACUGCAACUUUGAGCUCAUUCCCAAAUGGUUUUUCUCCAUGUUUCCCCCUCUCAAGUUCAUAAUGUACACGCCUUCGUAAGUAAUUUUAUUCCUAAUCAAAGGCAUGGCUCGUGCACAAUGUUAAAAGAUCAUCUGCUACACAAUCACGUUAAAACCACCUAUUUAAUGACGUGCACGUAGUCUGUCCCUUCCUCCUGAUUGAUGUUGAUUCUCUUAUAGAAGACUUGAGAAUCCAGCUGAUAAUUUAUUUGCUAAUGCAGGUUUCACUCUCUUCAUCAUACUCAAUUCAGAACCAAUUACUCGCUUUUCAUGCCAUUCUACGAUUAUGUCUAUGGAACAGUAGACGAAUCCUCCAACUUUUUAUAUCACACUUCACUCGGGAGAAAGGAAGAAGCACCUCAUGUUGUGCAUCUAACUCAUUUGACAACCCCAAAUUCCAUCUAUCAUCAACGUCUAGGUUUUGCAUCACUAGCCUCAAGGCCUCAUAAUUCUACUUGGUACUUGUGGUUAAUUUGGCCCAUCACACUUUGUUCUGCAACUGUAACAUGGAUAUAUGGACGCACGUUCAUUGUGGAGAGAAAUAUUUUCAAGCAUCUAAAAUUGCAAACCUGGGCUAUUCCUAAAUACAGCAUCCAGGUAAGAAAAUUACAUUUUAAGUCAUUUAAGAAUAAGGAGUACGAGUUUCACACAUAAGUUGUGCUUUUCAAGAUAAUGAUUUCUUCUUUUCGCAGUACUACAUGAAAUGGCAAAGAGAAUCUAUCAAUAAUGCGAUUGAAGAAGCUAUACUGGAAGCUGAGGAUAAAGGAAUUAAGAUUUUGAGCCUUGGUUUAUUGAAUCAGGCAAGUCUUACCGCAUGUUUGGCCAAGCUAAAUUAAGGGGCUGUUUGGAAGACAUUUUUAUGUAAAAAUAUAUUUUUGAAUAGAAAUGUGUGGUUGAAAAAUAAAGAAAAGUUUUUGAUUUACAUGUAAUAUUAUUUUAAUAAAGAAUAUGUGGUUGAAAAGAAAAGAGAGAAAAAUGUAUUUUGAAAAAAAUGGGUAUCAAACGGGGAAUAACUUAUUUUGAUUGUCAAAUGCUUACUUUCAAAACAGCUAAAUUAAGUAAAUAACUUAUUUUGACUGUCAAAUGCUACUUUCAAAACAUGCAGCUCUUAGCAAAACAUGCUCUUAAUUUAGAGAUAAGAACUUCUUUUAGUCCUGGACACAAAAUGGAUGUAGGAUUCUUAAAAUUUCUGAAAUGUAUUCACUACUUAUGCAGCAGGAGGAGUUGAACAGGAAUGGUGAGAUGUAUAUAAGAAGGCAUCCUCAGCUAAAACUGAAGCUGGUUGAUGGAAGUAGUUUAGUUGUUGCUGUUGUGAUUAACAGCAUUCCGAAAGGAGCAACUCGGGUGAUCCUUCGAGGUGAAUUAUCAAAAGUUGCUUACUCCCUUGCCUUUGCCUUGUGUAAAGGGGGGAUCCAGGUGAGUUCAACAUUAGUAAUGUCAUAGCAGACUAGUUUAUGAAACCUUGGAAAAUAAGGAGGAUUAUUUAGUAAUAAUAUUCCCCAACUGUUUAGGGCAUGUUUGGUAAGUUGGUACUGAAUAAGAUUUUAGAUUUUUUGGUCCAUUUAAUACAUUUUGGAUGGUAUAACAUUUUACUUUGUUGGUUUGGCCAAUUCUGUCUUCUGGUCAUAGGUAAGCGCAGUACGUCAAGAGGAGCAUAAAAAGCUUAAAGAAGGGCUUGGAAAUACUGAGGCAGCUAAUAAUUUAGUUCAAUAUUCCGAAAGCUUUGUUACAAAGGUAAACUUUAUUCUCCCUAUUGUUUAAUGCAGUUUUCCAUCCUCUUUAGUUAAAGAAGAAGAUGAAGUUUACAUUUCUCUACUUAAUUACAAUCAACAUAUAUUCCGAAUAGUACACUAAUCGGCAAUCUCAGUAUGUUCAACUCGACCACACUCAAUACAAUAUAGUGUUGAAUACCAAUCGUGUCAUAACUCCAUAUACUUUCUAAAGGUGCAGCAAAUCUCCAUCUUCUUCAGUUGUUUUUCUUAACCCCAACAGAAAACUUUAAACCAUUACUUUUAUAAUAUAAGUAUUUUCUUUCCUCAUGUGAUAUUAAUGAAAUGAACAAAUGUUAAUCUUUUAGGCAUGGUUAGUGGGAGAUGGACUAAGUGAAGAUGAACAAUCAAAGGCAUUGGAAGGAACAAUAUUCAUCCCAUUCUCACAAUUUCCUCCGAAGAAAAUGCGCAAAGACUGCUUCUACAACAACACUCCAUCGAUGUUGGCUCCCAAGCAUCUUGAAAACAUCGACUCUUGCGAGGUUGGCUGGAGUUUUAUGCUUUCUUUUUCAUCAUUUGGAAAUAUCACUUCACAUUAUGCUCAACAAAGAAACCCUGUCACAGUAUAAUAUGUUAAAGUGCUUGGUUGGCCUGGUAUGGACAUUUUUGUUUUAUCUAUGUUUUUUGUUUGCUCCGCCACUCUUCAAAAAAAUAAAUAAAUAAAACAAUAAUAAUAAGAAAACAAUUUGUCUGAAAAGUACAAGAACAGGAUCUCCUGCCCACCCCGGCCCAGGCAAGUGUUUAAACAUAUGAAUGGUUUUACACAGGAUGGUAACAAUUACCCGGAAUCGGUUGCGUUGAACUAGAUUAGUCUAUGGGGUUCUACCAAAAGAAACUUCAAAAUUUGGUCAUUUUUAACCUAAAAAACAAUUUCUUAUAAUAUCUGAAUUUAUUUUAUUGGUGUAUAUGCGCAGAAUUGGUUGCCAAGAAGGGUGAUAAGUGCAUGGCGGGUAGCAGGAAUUGUUCAUGGUUUAGAAGAUUGGAAUGUGCACGAAUGUGGAGACAUGAUACUCAACACUGAGAAAAUCUGGGAAGCCACUAUACGCCAUGGAUUCCGUCCUCUGACAGUGUCCACUCUAUCAAACGGCCCAUAUUAGACUGCAUUUUGUGCUCUUCAUUAAAUUUACUGGAUGUAUUUCCUUCUAUUUUAUCUAGUGUAUAAUGCAAAUAUUGCAAGAAUAAAACCGAGUCUGUUGGCAGGUGUGGUGUCUUUCAUUUAUGCAUAAUUCUUUACCUGUUAUUCUGUUAAUGAAGUCAUUCUCAAGCCCUUUGACGGGCGUGUGACAUGUACCUGAGACUUAUUGUGAUAAAGUAUAUACAAGCUGUGUAUCUAUUAUAGCAUCUGGCGCAUCAAAUCUGUGAGUUGGCUAAUGUGCACCUGAGGGACCUUGGUUGGGUUGUUGUAACUAUAUUUGAUUCUCACGUGUAUAGCACAUGUAUUCUUGCUUGCUCCCCACUCCAUAGACGUGUAUAAAUUGUACCCUGCCUCCGUGUAAAUGCAUCAAGUGAAAUUCAUCAAUAUACAAGCAUAAUUCCCCAUUAUACAAUUAUGCUAUUUUUAACUUGGUAUCAGAGCUAAUGAUGGUUAACGCCAGGUCCAAUGACAACGCACAAUCAGCUCAACCAGCUUCAAGCACCUAAUGCCUUCAAUGUUGGGAGGAAAUCAGAUUUCAUCUUUUGGGAUAAGCCUUACCCAAAUUCCAUGAGUAAAGCUUGACAGGAACAAUUUCCUGUUGUGGAAGAACAUGGUUAUGCCCAUCAUCAAGGGUCAUAAUCUGGAAGGUUUCAUCAAAAGAACAAAGGCCUGUCCAUCAGAAUUUCUGGGAACGGAGACUACUGGUCCUACUGGUGUUACUGUUGAAAUGACCCUAAACAUUGAGUACGAUAAAUGGAUAUCUACCGAUCAACUGCUUAUGGGAUGGCUUUAUUCAUCAAUGACACCAGAAAUUGUCAUAAGAGUAAUGGGAUCCUCCAACUCCUGCAGCCUCUGGAAUGCAGUCCAGGAAAGCUUUGGAGUCAUGGACAAAUCGAGGGUAAUUUUCCUUGUUAGUGAGCUUCAAAGGACAAGGAAAGGAUCAAUGAGUAUUGAUCAAUACCUGAAACACGAUUAAACAGCUAGCAGACAAUUUUGAAAUUGCUGGAAAAACCAUGUCUCACAAUGAUCUUGUCACACAAGUACUAGCUAGGCUGGAUGAAGAAUACACUCCCAUUGUAGUUCAAAUCAACAGUAGAGAAUCCAUCUCUUGGCAUGAACUGCAAUCUGUACUCAUGACAUAUUAAAGCAGAAUUGAGCACCUCAAUGCUGUGAGAAAUAGCCUAGCCUCAGUUAAAUUAAGUUAAGCCUCAGCAAACUUUGUGCAUAAAUCAAAUGUAAAUAGAGGAGGAAGAUCUAACUAUAGUGGAAGAGUUAGCAACUACAGAGGAGGAAGAAGCCGUGGUAGAGGAAUCAGGCAAAUUAGAAGUAAAGGACCUUGUCAAAUCUGUGGAAUGAUCAAUCAUUCAGCUGAAAGAUGCUACAAUCGAUAUGAUGAGAGGUAUAUGGGUACCAAACCUAAUCAAAAAUAUCAAAACGAUUCCUCUGAACUAGCUGCCUUUAUAGCUUCACCAAUCACCAUUACAAAUCCAGCUUGGUUUGCUGAUUCUGGAGCAAGCAAUCAUGUCACUGCUGAGCAAGGAAACCCAAUUGAGGCACAUGAGUAUGGUGGUAAGGAAAAACUGAUUGUUGGUAAUAGAAACAAACUUCACAUCUCACAUAUUAGCAUUAAGCACCUAAACACAUUAAGUGACAGAUUAUUAGUUCUCAGUAAUAUGUUAUUGGUACCAUCAAUUAAGAAGAAUUUAAUAAGCAUGUCACAGUUAACAUUUGAUAAUGGCGUGUUUAUGGAAUUUCACACUGAUUUUUGUGUUGUCAAGGACAAACAAACGAAGGAAGUGCUGUUGGAAGGGAAGCUUAAGGAUGGAUUGUAUCAAAUUGAGCACUCAAAUCAAAUCAAAAGGCCCUCCUAUCAAGAGUCAGUCUAUCCAAAUAAGUUGAAAUCUUCAGCAUUUGUUGUUGAGUCUAACGAGUCUGAUAUUUCUGAAAGUACCAGUGAGUAUGAGUCUAAGUUGAAAUUGUGGCAUAUGAGACUUGGACAUCCUACAGUUCCUGUGAUGUCACAAGUACUCAAAUUCUGUAAUGAGAAAGUUGAUGUUAAUAAUGUCAAUCAAUUCUGUAAUGCUUGCCAAUUUGGUAAAUCACUCUCUUUACCAUUCAAACUAUCUACAUCGCAUGCA